CCUAGGGUUGUAAAGCUCUUUUGUGCGGGAAGAUAAUGACGGUACCGCAAGAAUAAGCCCCGGCUAACUUCGUGCCAGCAGCCGCGGUAAUACGAAGGGGGCUAGCGUUGCUCGGAAUCACUGGGCGUAAAGGGUGCGUAGGCGGGUCUUUAAGUCAGGGGUGAAAUCCUGGAGCUCAACUCCAGAACUGCCUUUGAUACUGAGGAUCUUGAGUUCGGGAGAGGUGAGUGGAACUGCGAGUGUAGAGGUGAAAUUCGUAGAUAUUCGCAAGAACACCAGUGGCGAAGGCGGCUCACUGGCCCGAUACUGACGCUGAGGCACGAAAGCGUGGGGAGCAACAGGAUUAGAUACCCUGGGUAGUCCACGCCGUAAACGAUGAAUGCCAGCCCGUUGGGGAAGUUUACUUCUCAGUGGCGCAGUUACCUUUAACAUUCCGCCUGGGGAGUACGUCGCAAGAUUAAA
rnacentral:rRNA from 1 species